CCUACGGGUGGCAGCAGUGAGGAAUAUUGGUCAAUGGGCGCGAGCCUGAACCAGCCAAGUAGCGUGAAGGAUGACUGCCCUACGGGUUGUAAACUUCUUUUAUCAAGGAAUAAAGUGAGGCACGUGUGCCUUUUUGUAUGUACUUUAUGCAUAAUGAUCGGCUAACUCCGUGCCUACAGCCGCGGUAAUAAGGAGGAUGCGAGCGGUAUCCGGAUUUAUUGGGUUUAAAGGGAGCGUAGAUGGGUUGUUAAGUCAGUGGUGAAAGUUUGCGGCUGAAACGUAAAAUGGCAAUGGAUACUGGCAGUCUUGAGUAGAGUUGAGGUAGGCGGAAUGCGUGGUGUAGCGGUGAAAUGCUUAGAUAUCACGAAGAACUCCGAUUGCGAAGGCAGCUUACUAACGUGCCACUGACAUUGAUGCUCGAAAGUGUGGGUAUCAAACAGGAUUAGAUACCCGAGUAGUC
rnacentral:rRNA from 1 species